rnacentral:rRNA from 1 species
AUACGUAUGGGGCAAGCGUUAUCCGGAUUCAUUGGGCGUAAAGCGCGUGUAGGCGGCUUGUUAAGUCAGAUGUGAAAACCGGGGGCUUAACCCGCGGCGUGCAUCUGAAACUGGCAGGCUUGAGUCUGGUAGAGGAAGGUGGAAUUCCUAGUGUAGCGGUGAAAUGCGCAGAUAUUAGGAGGAACACCAGUGGCGAAGGCGGCUUUCUGGGCCACGACUGACGCUGAGACGCGAAAGCUAGGGGAGCAAACAGGAUUAGAUACCCCAGUAGUCC